rnacentral:rRNA from 1 species
ACGGAAGGCAGCAGUGGGGAAUAUUGCACAAUGGGGGAAACCCUGAUGCAGCGACGCCGCGUGAGUGAAGAAGUAUUUCGGUAUGUAAAGCUCUAUCAGCAGGAAAGAAAAUGACGGUACCUGACUAAGAAGCCCCGGCUAACUACGUGCCAGCAGCCGCGGUAAUACGUAGGGGGCAAGCGUUAUCCGGAUUUACUGGGUGUAAAGGGAGCGUAGACGGCUUUGCAAGUCUGAAGUGAAAGCCCGGGGCUCAACCCCGGAACUGCUUUGGAAACUGUAGAGCUAGAGUGCAGGAGAGGUAAGUGGAAUUCCUAGUGUAGCGGUGAAAUGCGUAGAUAUUAGGAGGAACACCAGUGGCGAGGGCGGCUUACUGGACUGUAACUGACGUUGAGGCUCGAAGGCGUGGGGAGCAAACAGGAUUAGAUACCCUGGUA